rnacentral:lncRNA from 12 species
AAAAAAGAAAUUGAAAAAAGGUCAGGUGAACGCGCAGAAGGAAUGAAGAGGUUUGUGUGAUUCUUAGUGAAAUUGGACCAGUCUAAGCAGCCAGACAGGCUUCACAAAGGAACGUAAAAGACAAGUGCUAGGAAAAAGACAUGAUUCUACGGAAGGAAAAAGAUGAAAACUAACAUGACCCAGAUGAAAACAGAUGAAGAUUUUGAACUGUAAAGGAGACCUUGGGCCGCCAGUUCCUGUAAUUUUAAUCCCUUCACGAGGAGGGUCUUGAGGAUCAGCUGCAUCACUGCUGUUCUGCUUGCUGCUGUUUAGCUCCACACAGAAUCAGAAUUGGAAAAGAUCUGGGAAACAUGGAAUCCAGUGACUUCCAAAGUGUUCUCCUUUGGGA